rnacentral:rRNA from 1 species
UACGUAGGGGGCUAGCGUUGUCCGGAAUCAUUGGGCGUAAAGAGCGUGUAGGCGGCCCGGUAAGUCCGCUGUAAAAGUCAAAGGCUCAACCUUUGAAUGUCAGUGGAUACUGCCGGGCUAGAGUCCGGAAGAGGCGAGUGGAACUCCUGGUGUAGCGGUGGAAUGCGCAGAUAUCAGGAAGAACACCAACGGCGAAGGCAGCUCGCUAGGACGGUACUGACGCGGAGACGCGAAAGCGUGGGGAGCGAACAGG